GCGGAUGUGGCGGAAUUGGUAUACGCGCACGUUUGAGGGGCGUGUGGCUUUGCCUUACGAGUUCGAGUCUCGUCAUCCGCA
rnacentral:tRNA from 2 species